rnacentral:lncRNA from 10 species
GUAGGAAGCAGAAAGCUUCAGAACUCAAUGGAACAAAAGACAGGUAUUUUAAAAAUAGUUUAAUUAGAAUUAUGUGAAGCUAAAAUUGAUUCUAAAAAUAGGUAAUUGAAAGUUUAUGCUAGAUUUAUUAAUCUUAGAAAAAGUGUUAGAAAUAUAAAUCUCAAGUUGUCUCUGGCAUAAGUCAGAAAUAAUUUUAUUUUCCUUCAGAUCGAAGCUCUGCUUUCCAAAGGUUUGAAAGCUAAAAAGUACAAAGCAGAAAGCAUAAGGAGUUCUUAGAAAAAGAGAAAUUAAUAAGUUUAAAAAACCCCCUUUUCCAGACCCUUUCUUCUACUUUUUAGCCGUUAAUCCUUCUUUCUUUGUCCACUUGUCUGGUUCUGUUUUUCCUUCUCCACUAGCAACUUGAGAUUUAAAUUUCUGUGAAAGGUCUUUCUAAAACUACUUACUCUAAGAAGAUCUUUGGAUUGGCUUGUAAAAAUCUGUUUUGUGGCAUUCUGCUUUUGAACAAUUCGUACUAAUUCGUUUCCUCAUUUCUACUAUAUAUAAAAUAAAAUGCACUGUACUAUAAACACUAGGGCUUCGCUGGCCACUUAUAACCAUGUAAUAUGGUUUGGAAUCUCUGAAUGUAUGUAAUUUUACGAUUUAAUUUUUAAGAAAUAACAUAAUAAUUCAGUUAUUUACUUUGUUCCUCUUUAGGUAUGUUAGAGCGGAAGUUCUGGCUGGCUUUGUCAAUGGCCUAUUUUUGAUCUUCACUGCUUUUUUUAUUUUCUCAGAAGGAGUUGAGAGAGCAUUAGCCCCUCCAGAUGUCCACCAUGAGAGACUGCUUCUUGUUUCCAUUCUUGGGUUUGUGGUAAACCUAAUAGGAAUAUUUGUUUUCAAACAUGGAGGUCAUGGACAUUCUCAUGGCUCUGGUAUGAUGGUUAGGACACUUUGUUUCUUCAUUUUCUACUAGGUUUCUGUCAUAAUUAUUUACUUGAGAGAAUUAAGUUAAACUAUACUGAUUUCUGAUGUCAACAGACUAUGUGAAUAUCUUCCUGAACUAUCCCUUUCACUUCUUUAUGCCCCUCCAUCUCAGUGCCUUCUCAGAGCUGUGCUUGUAUCAUGGAUCCCACCAGACCUCAGUAGCUUAUCUGUUUAGUGUGAUAUCAUUUAUAUAAAAUAGACAAAUAUCAGAAAACCACAAAACAAAUCUACUUAUCAGAAAGUUUUGUGUGGGCUGGGCACAGUGGCUUACACCUAUAAUUCCAGCACUCUGGGAGGCCAAGGCAGAUGGAUCACUUGAAUCCAGGAGGUUGACACCAGCCUGGGCGAUAUGGCGAAACCCCAUCUCUACAAAAAAAUACAAAAUUAGCCAGGUAUGCUG